GCCUAACAAGUUUUUUUCCUUUAAAAUUAUGCUAUUUAUUUGACAUGAUAUAUAAACUCAAAGCAUUUUAUCAAGUUACUUCCUGCUCCCCCAUAAAUAGAAUAACUCUGGUUAAUUUGGUCAGCCCAAAUACAGUUUAACAAGUUUUGAGGGGAAAUGUUUGUCAUCUGUGUAAGGUUGUGCUGGUUUUCAUGGUGAAAUUGUGGUGUUCCUUCAUUGUGGCUAUUUUCCAGUAAAAAUUAUGAUGUUGUAUUUCAGCUACCUGUAAGAAGAAUCAAGAUAAAGAAUUCAUGAAUGAUAAAAACACUUUGAAAAGACUGGUGCAAAAAACAUCAUUAUAAAAUGUAAAAUGGAGAAGAAUGGUCUGAAGGGCCACCAUGCAGCCAUACGGCACAGGAUCUAGAUUAUGCACCACAGUGGUUCUGAAAUGUGGUCCCUGGUCCAGCAGCCUCAGCAUCACCUGCAAACUGGUUAGAGAUGGAAAUUCUCAUGUCCUUCUUCAGACCAACUACAUCAGAAACUGAGGAUGGGGCCCAGCAGUCCCUGUCCUAACAAGUUCUCCAGGUGACCCUGAUGCACACUCAAGUUUGGUACCACUGCACUGUGAUUUUUUGUUCUGAAUCUGAGGCCUGCUAUUGUGAAUCUGCCAUACUUAAAAAGAAAAAAGUUGGAAAGUCAUUUUCAACUAAAAAACAUUUCAAACAGAGGAAAUAGAAAAAAUAAAGGACUGAAGGCCAAUGUCUUGGCUGCAGAAGCAGCUAAUGCAUUUUAUUUUUAGACCGCAUCCGUUAUUUAUUUCUUUUCUUCCAAUCCCAGUAUCUUGGAAUUAGGCUUUAUUGUAUCAAAAAGAACAGUCACCCACAAUGCACUAGAACAACU
rnacentral:lncRNA from 1 species